AUUGAACGCUGGCGGCAGGCCUAACACAUGCAAGUCGAGCGGAUGAAGGGAGCUUGCUCCUGGAUUCAGCGGCGGACGGGUGAGUAAUGCCUAGGAAUCUGCCUGGUAGUGGGGGAUAACGUCCGGAAACGGGCGCUAAUACCGCAUACGUCCUGAGGGAGAAAGUGGGGGAUCUUCGGACCUCACGCUAUCAGAUGAGCCUAGGUCGGAUUAGCUAGUUGGUGGGGUAAAGGCCUACCAAGGCGACGAUCCGUAACUGGUCUGAGAGGAUGAUCAGUCACACUGGAACUGAGACACGGUCCAGACUCCUACGGGAGGCAGCAGUGGGGAAUAUUGGACAGUAGGCGAAAGCCUGAUCCAGCCAUGCCGCGUGUGUGAAGAAGGUCUUCGGAUUGUAAAGCACUUUAAGUUGGGAGGAAGGGCAGUAAGUUAAUACCUUGCUGUUUUGACGUUACCAACAGAAUAAGCACCGGCUAACUUCGUG
rnacentral:rRNA from 1 species